rnacentral:rRNA from 1 species
GACGAACGCUGGCGGCGUGCCUAAUACAUGCAAGUCGAGCGAUGAAGAUUGGUGCUUGCACCUAUUUGAAUAGCAGCGAACGGGUGAGUAACGCGUGGGUAAUCUGCCUUUGAGCGUGGGACAACAUCUGGAAACGAAUGCUAAUACCGCAUAACAACUUUAAACAUAAGUUUUAAGUUUGAAAGAUGCAAUUGCAUCACUUUAUGAUGAUCCCGCGUUGUAUUAGCUAGUUGGUUAGGUAAAGGCCCACCAAGGCGAUGAUACAUAGCCCACCUUGGAGGGGGGUCGGCCACAUUGGGACUGGGACACGGGCCCAGCUCCUACGGGAGGGAGCAGUAGGGAAACUUCGGCAAAGGAGGAAAGGCUGACCGAGCAACGCCGCGUGAGUGAAGGAGGUUGUCGGGUCGGAAAAAUCUGUUGGUAGGGAAGGAAGAUGGUGGGAGUGGAAAGCUCAUCAAGUGACGGUAACUACCCAGAAAGGGACGGCUAACUACGUG